CUUUCUGUUCAAAUGUCUAGCUUGCUUAAUGUUUUUGUGGUUCACUAUCUAUUAGACAUUGUGUUUAUGCUUCCACUGAAUUGCAAAUUAAACUUCAUGUUAGUGGAAGGAACAAUACUUUUCAUAAAUUUCCUACUAAUAUCAGCUUAGCACAAUGUACAGGAAAAUGCUUGGUUUUUGGGCAGGUCAUCGCAAUUCUGAAAUGAGAGCUGCACUAGCAAGUGAAUGAGAGAAUGACACAGAACUUGAUAUCCAGAACAACAGAAUAACUAGAGGCACUGGACAUUUGGUAUACCUACAGAAAUUCUAUACCACGAAGUUCUGCAUAUGCCCGGUGGUUCAUAAGUCAAUAGUGAUCGCAUAGCAGACUCUAUACAUUAUGGAUGUGUACCUGAUUGAUUUAACAAUGUUUGGUGGUGAACUAUUGUCCCAGGAAGGCCUCUCAUGAGAAGGAAUUGCUUCAGCUAAAGAAGGAAGGCAGAAGAAAUCAAUAUGAGCAACAUAAACUACAAGCUUUAAAUCAGCACCAGAAAAUGGCUAGAAAUAAUGCACGGAUUAUGAUCGCUGGCUCUUUAGAUAUGUUCAGUAAUGGAUUGUUCAAAUCAGGUGUGCAGAAGGCUGGGAGCUCAAAUAAGUGAGUAAUCCUCUGGUCAAUCUUCAUUCAGUACUUCUACAUGCCAGCUUAUUAUCCAACUUGUUCUCUGACUUACAAUCUAAUGGUCCACAUUUGUCUGUGUACAUCCAAAACAUGCAUAAAAAUGAAUAGAUGAGACAAAAGUUAAAUGCAUUAAAGAAGCGUUGAACAGUACCACUCAUGAAUGUGCUUGUGUCUGUGUGUAAGAGAGAGAGAGAGAGAGAGAGAGA